rnacentral:rRNA from 1 species
GACGAACGCUGGCGGCGUGCCUAAUACAUGCAAGUCGAGCGGACAGAAGGGAGCUCGCUCCCGGAAGUUAGCGGCGGACGGGUGAGUAACACGUGGGCAACCUACCCUGUAGAUCGGGAUAACAUCGAGAAAUCGGUGCUAAUACCGGAUAAUCAUUUGAAGUGCAUGCUUCGAAUGUAAAAGAUGGCUCCGGCUAUCACUACGGGAUGGGCCCGCGGCGCAUUAGCUAGUUGGUAAGGUAAUGGCUUACCAAGGCAACGAUGCGUAGCCGACCUGAGAGGGUGCUCGGCCACACUGGGACUGAGACACGGCCCAGACUCCUACGGGAGGCAGCAGUAGGGAAUCUUCCGCAAUGGACGAAAGUCUGACGGAGCAACGCCGCGUGAGUGAUGAAGGUUUUCGGAUCGUAAAGCUCUGUUGUUAGGGAAGAACAAGUGCCGUUUGAAUAAGGCGGCACCUUGACGGUACCUAACCAGAAAGCCACGGCUAACUACGUGCCAGCAGCCGCCGUAACAC